UUUUUUUUUUUUUUUUUUUGAGACAGAGUUUCUCUGUUUAGCCCUGGCUGUCCUGGAAUUCAUUCUGUAGACUAGGCUGGCCUUGGAACUCAGAAAUCCAUCUGUCUCUGCCUCCCAAGUGCUGGGAUUAAAGGCGUUCUCAACCACUGUGCUCCAAGAAGCCUGAGAUGUGAUGGUCUUUCCUGGUUUCUAUGGGCAUGUAACUAUUGGUGCACAGGCAUACUUGCAGGCAAAACACCCAUAAAAACAAAACUAGGUCUCACUCUGAAACUCUGACUGGCCUUAAACUUGGAAAGAUCUGCCUGCCGCUGCCUCCCCAGGGUGUCAUAACUCUGAAAUCCUUUCUAUCUCAAUAUUUCACCACUCGGUGAAAGCUGAGAACCAGUCGGAAAUAAACAGUCUUCAUUUUGAAGGAAUAUAGGUAAGGAGAAAGGCCAUUAUUAACACUUGAAAACAUGAUGUGCAGGCCCAUGUCUUAUCCAUACUCCUGUUUAUAUCACUCGGUAAGAUAACUGUUUUUAGGGAGAAGUUAGGAGGCAAGAAUCCCAUCCUGCUUGUUCGCAAACCUGAGUUUCUGACAUUUAACAAAAGCUAAAUAAGUCUGUGUGUAAACAACUGUGUGGCCAAUCAGAAUGGCUCCAAUAUGAAGACAAGGCUCUCCACUGCCCAGUCAGGAGCUUUCUUGCAGAUUGUUUGCUAUUGUUUAGUGAAGGUGAACAUUGACUGACUGACUGACUGACUGACUGAGAAGAGGGCAGAAGGGAACUACCAAGGGAAACAUUAGGUCUCAGUCUCCCAAGUGCUGGGAUUACAGAUGUGAGCCACCACACCUCGUAGAUAAGUGUGUGUGUGCAAUGUGUUCGACGGCACGUACACUCACUCGGGGGUGGCGAGGGGGGAGAGGAAGGCAGAGGAUAAGGUUCUGGAGUCCAUUCUCUCCUUCCCCCAGGCAUAGCUGGUGGAAGUCUCAUAGCUGGAACAUAGCUCAUCAAUCAGGCUUGGCAGCAAGCGCGCCCCCCACCCCCCCUUAGCUACCUUGCUGGCCCAAGACAGAUAUUUUUUUUUAGCGUAAUUUGAAAAUGAAGUCUAAAAGCCAAGACUGGGAGACAUCUGUUUGCACAGUUCUUUGGCUCUAUGGUGUUGUGUCACUGAGGGAACCUACUGCUACGUACAAUGUAUCGACUGUUACAGAGACAACAAGGAUAGGUAGAGAGAAGACAGGCAGUGUCAUGGUUCUGGAGGACCAAGGAGGCUUCCUUACUUGCUCACUGCCAUCCCACCUCUGCCCUACCUUCGCAUCCAUUUCAGUAUUGUUCCCUCUGUCCCCAAAAGCCAAGAACUUGAACUAGAAACAGCAGAUGGUGAAUUCAAGGCCUCUUCCUUGCUCUAAUGAAAAGUUUGGUUUGGUAGUAUUAGUGGUGGUGGUGGUGGUGGAGGCUGCGGUUGGAGAGAUGGCUCAGCAGCUAAGAGCACUGACUGCUCUUCUGAAGGUCCUGAGUUCAAAUCCCAGCAACCACAUGGUGGCUCACAACCACCUGUAAUGAGAUCUGAUACCCUCUUCUGGGGCAUCUGGAGACUGCUACAGUGUACUCAUUUAUAAUAAUAAAUAAAUCUUUGGGCUGGAGUGAGCAGGGACUGAGCAAGUGGGGUUGACUGGAGCGAGCAGAGGUCCUAAAUUCAAUUCCCAACAAUCAGAUGAAGGCUCACAACUAUCUGUACAGCUACAGUGUACUCAUAUACAUAAAAUAAAAAAAAAAUUUAAGAUGUGUUUUUGCUGUGUAGCCCUGGCUCUCUCAGAACUUAUUCUGCAGACCAGGCUGGCCUCAAACUUACAGAGAUCCUCCUGUCACUGCCUGUCUAGUACUGGGAUUCAGGGACUGCGCCAGCAUUGCCCAGCUCACUACUCAGUGAAUGCUUUAAAUAGCUGUGGGGCUUGCAAUGUAGUUCCACUGAUAGAAUGCUCGCCUUCACUGCUCGAGACCAGAGUUUGAUCUCCAUGUUUGCAAUUGCAGUGCUCAGACGUGGAGGUUGGAGGAUCAGGAAUUCAAGGCCAUCCUCAGCUACAGAGCAAGUUCUAGGCUAGCCUGAGCUACAUGAGAACCUAUCUCAAAACAAACAAACAAAUUAGGGCUAGGGAGAUGGCUCAGUGAAUAGAAGUAUUUCUCUCACAAGCACAGGAAUGUGAGUUUGAAUCCUGGGAACCCGUGUAAAAGCUGGGCGCACAGCCCAUGCAUCUGUAUGUCUAUACGUCCUAUGGGAAGACAGGAAUCUCCAGAAAUUCAAGGCCCAGCUAGCCUUCCAUAUGCAGAAGAAAAAUAACAAAUGAGUGUCAGGUGUGGUGGUAAACUCCCUUAAUCUUAGCAUUCAAAAGGCAGAGGAAGGAGGAUCUCUGUGAGUUUGAGACUAAUACCAUCUAUAGAGCAAGGUUAGGGACAACCAUAAUCAUAUAGAGAUACUGUCUCAAGUAAGACAAGACAAAAGCAAACAAAAAGCCAUGAAGAAAGAAAGAAAAUAAGCAGCCAGGUAUAGUGCUGCACACCUUUAAUCUCAGCAUUUAGGAGGCAGAGGCAGAUGGAGCCUGUGAGAUUGAGGCCAGUCAGGUCUACAGAUUCAGUUUCAGGCCACCUGGAGCUACAUAGUGAGAACUUGUCUCAAAAACCAAACCAAACUAAACCAAACCAAACCAAACCAAACCAACCCAAACCAACCCAACCCAAACCAAACCAAACCAAACCUAAGUAUAACAAAAAGACCCGUUUUGAAAGAAGGUAAACGAUAUGGACCGACAUCCUAGGUUGUCUUCUGUUGUGUGUCUGUGCACACAGAGUGAAUGUAUGAUUCAACC
rnacentral:lncRNA from 1 species